GACGAGGGGGCGAGCGUUGUCCGGAAUUAUUGGGCGUAAAGAGCUCGUAGGCGGUCUGUCGCGUCUGCUGUGAAAACUCAGGGCUUAACCCUGAGCUUGCAGUGGGUACGGGCAGACUAGAGUGCGGUAGGGGAGACUGGAAUUCCUGGUGUAGCGGUGAAAUGCGCAGAUAUCAGGAGGAACACCGGUGGCGAAGGCGGGUCUCUGGACAGUUCCUGACACUGAGGCACGAAGGCCAGGGGAGCAAACGGG
rnacentral:rRNA from 1 species